rnacentral:rRNA from 1 species
CGGACACACUGGGACUGAGACACGGCCCAGACUCCUACGGGAGGCAGCAGUGGGGAAUUGUUCGCAAUGGGCGCAAGCCUGACGACGCAACGCCGCGUGGAGGAUGAAGACCUUCGGGUCGUAAACUCCUUUCGAUCGAGACGAAUGGUUUCCGGGUGAACAAUCCGGAAAAGUGACGGUACCGAGAGAAGAAGCCCCGGCUAACUCCGUGCCAGCAGCCGCGGUAAUACGGGGGGGGCAAGCGUUGUUCGGAAUUACUGGGCGUAAAGGGCUCGUAGGUGGCCAACUAAGUCAGACGUGAAAUCCCUCAGCUUAACUGGGGAACUGCGUCUGAUACUGGAUGGCUUGAGAUUGGGAGAGGGAUGCGGAAUUCCAGGUGUAGCGGUGAAAUGCGUAGAUAUCUGGAGGAACACCGGUGGCGAAGGCGGCAUCCUGGACCAACACUGACACUGAGGAGCGAAAGCCAGGGGAGCAAACGGGAUUAGAUACCCCGGUAGUCCUGGCCCUAAACGAUGAAUGCUUGGUGUGGCGGGUAUCGAUCCCUGCCGUGCCGAAGCUAACGCAUUAAGCAUUCCGCCUGGGGAGUACGGUCGCAAGGCUGAAACUCAAAGG